rnacentral:rRNA from 1 species
CUGGUACAAUGCGAAGCGAAGCAGUGAUGUGAAGCAAAUCGCACCAAAGCCAGUCCCAGUUCGGAUAAGAGGCUGAAACUCGCCUCUUUGAAGUCGGAAUCGCUAGUAAUCGCAGAUCAGCAUGUUGCGGUGAAUACGUUCCCGGGUCUUGUACACACCGCCCGUCAAACCAUGAGAGUCACCAACACCCGAAGUCCGCCUUGGCGGCCUAAGGUGGGGGAGAUGAUUGGGGUUAAGUCGUAACAAGGUAGC